UACGUAGGGGGCAAGCGUUGUCCGGAAUCAUUGGGCGUAAGAGCGUGUAGGCGGCUCGGUAAGUCCGCUGUGAAAGUCCAGGGCUCAACCCUGGAAUGCCGGUGGAUACUGUCGGGCUAGAGUCCGGAAGAGGCGAGUGGAACUCCUGGUGUAGCGGUGAAAUGCGCAGAUAUCAGGAAGAACACCAAUAGCGAAGGCAGCUCGCUGGGACGGUACUGACGCUGAGACGCGAAAGCGUGGGGAGCGAACAGGAU
rnacentral:rRNA from 1 species